rnacentral:misc_RNA from 1 species
UCUCCGUUGGUGAACCAGCGGAGGGAUCAUUACUGAAGAGUCUCUUGACUUUUUGAACCUUUGAGCAUUUAUACUUGUUGCCUCGGUGCUAGCCGCGCCCUUGGUGCGGCGCGCUGCUGGCUCCUGAAACACUGUUUAGUACAUGGUUCUGAGCAUUUGGUUUACCCAACUGAAUUAAAACUUUCAACAACGGAUCUCUUGGCUCUG